UACGGGGGGGGCAAGCGUUGUUCGGAAUUACUGGGCGUAAAGGGCGCGUAGGCGGCCUUCUAAGUCGGACGUGAAAUCCCUCGGCUUAACCGAGGAACUGCGUCCGAGACUGAAAGGCUUGAAUCCGGGAGAGGGAUGUGGAAUUCCAGGUGUAGCGGUGAAAUGCGUAGAUAUCUGGAGGAACACCGGUGGCGAAGGCGGCAUCCUGGACCAACACUGACGCUGAGUGAGCGAAAGCCAGGGGAGCAAACGGG
rnacentral:rRNA from 1 species